rnacentral:rRNA from 1 species
GGUGAACGCUGGCGGUAGGCCUAACACAUGCAAGUCGAACGGCAGCACAGUAAGAGCUUGCUCUUACGGGUGGCGAGUGGCGGACGGGUGAGGAAUACAUCGGAAUCUACUUUUUCGUGGGGGAUAACGUAGGGAAACUUACGCUAAUACCGCAUACGACCUACGGGUGAAAGCAGGGGAUCUUCGGACCUUGCGCGAUUGAAUGAGCCGAUGUCGGAUUAGCUAGUUGGCGGGGUAAAGGCCCACCAAGGCGACGAUCCGUAGCUGGUCUGAGAGGAUGAUCAGCCACACUGGAACUGAGACACGGUCCAGACUCCUACGGGAGGCAGCAGUGGGGAAUAUUGGACAAUGGGCGCAAGCCUGAUCCAGCCAUACCGCGUGGGUGAAGAAGGCCUUCGGGUUGUAAAGCCCUUUUGUUGGGAAAGAAAAGCAGCAGGUUAAUACCCCGCUGUUCUGACGGUACCCAAGGAAUAAGCACCGGCUAACUUCGUG